AUCCAGCUGACGAGUCCCAAAUAGGACGAAACGCGCGUCCAAUUGGAU
rfam:Schistosoma mansoni strain Puerto Rico chromosome 2, complete genome